CAGCAGCCACGGGAAUACGAAGGGUGCAAGCGUUAAUCGGAAUUACUGGGCGUAAAGCGUGCGUAGGCGGUCUGUUAAGUCUGUUGUGAAAUCCCCGGGCUCAACCUGGGAAUGGCAAUGGAUACUGGCAAGCUAGAGUGUGUCAGAGGAUGGUGGAAUUCCCGGUGUAGCGGUGAAAUGCGUAGAGAUCGGGAGGAACAUCAGUGGCGAAGGCGGCCAUCUGGGACAACACUGACGCUGAGGCACGAAAGCGUGGGGAGCAAACAGGAUUAGAUACCCCGGUAGUCCCUGUCUCUUAUAC
rnacentral:rRNA from 1 species